rnacentral:lncRNA from 10 species
CACCUUGAUUUCUGACCCAGUGAGAGUGUGUUGGACUUAGGACCUUCAGAACGGGUGAAGAUAUGGUCUUUCUGCUUGGUGGGUUUAGAGAAAGGGAGGGAGGCAGAGGAAUAUUUGAUGAAGACGAGAAGGGGAUGUGACGAAAGAACAGGAAGAGGAAAGGGGAUGUGAUGCCAGUCCAGAAGCUGAGGAAUGAGGACUGCAUCCCUCCUGGCACAGAGUGUUGACUGCAAGAUGAGGCAAAGGCAAAUAGGUGGAAUAACUGGAGAAUAACCCAGAAUGAGACACUCUGAGAGAGCCACACAAAACAGGGGAAAAAACUGGAGAAUAAUGGUUGUGUCAUCAUGACAAACAACUGACAUA